AGGAGCUGUACUUUUUUCAAAGCUGUUGCAGGUAAUCAGAAGGGAAUGCUCUGUCUCCAGGGCAAGGAAGGAAAUUCCAGAGAGUUAGCCAAGACAAUCAGGGUUAAUGUGCUCUUUAAGAAGUGUGGUGCAAGCAGGACCCCCUCUUUCCCAUUCAAAGGUCUUGAUCUGUUCACUAACUUGUUCCCAUCCUGCAAAUAGGCAGAAACACAGAGUUCUGCCUGCAUGAUAAGCUUUCAGGGUCAUUCACUCAAGCUCUUCUUAUACUGCUGGUCCAAAUAGCUGAGCUGCAGAGGAGUCCCAGGGCUGAUUUUCUCAUUUGUUAAUGAAAAGCUGAGGUCCUACUUGUGGUGAAGGAAAGAACUGUGCACAACUACCAAGAAACUGGAUGGGCAUCACUGGAGAUCAUUCUGUCCAAGCCUCAAAACAUCAACAUUAAAUUCAUCAGCAUCAAACUGCCAUCAAAUGCAAGGUCUCUGAACAGUGGUGUUCUGAAAUUUUCCUGAAUUAAAUUAUUUGUUUAUAUUUGGUAUGAUGAUCCUCCAUGCUGACUUGUGUGAUUAUGACAAGGGUGCAACUUAAGGCAGUUUGUGGCUCUUCAAUUCUGGGCUCCUGCACCUUCAACCUUUGUACACAAGUUCAAUGUAAACUGAAGGUGCUACUUCCCUAACAACACUAAGAUUGAACCCUCUGUAGCCUGUGCACGUUGUGAUGCUUUGCCCCUGAGAGAAUGGCAACAAAUAACUUGCAGAACAACUAUCUGCAGCUUAGGGACUUGACUGAUACCUCUUUUCUAUGCUGUACAGAAAACCUUGGUUUUGUGGUGUCAAAAUGGUAUCUCCAGCCAAGUUACUUCUCACAGAGUUAUUGUUUUUCUACCCUUGCAGGAGCAGAUUUGAUUAGGAGUCUGGGGUAUUACUCUGACAAUAGUGAAUAGUAGCACUUUAUUCCUACUCG